AAAUUGAAGAGUUUGAUCAUGGCUCAGAUUGAACGCUGGCGGCAGGCCUAACACAUGCAAGUCGAGCGGCAGCGGGG
rnacentral:rRNA from 1 species